AUACGGAGGGUGCAAGCGUUACUCGGAAUCACUGGGCGUAAAGCGCGCGCAGGCGGCUAUUUAAGUUGGAUGUGAAAGCCUACGGCUCAACCGUAGAACUGCAUCCAAAACUAUUUAGCUAGAGUGUGGGAGAGGAAGAUGGAAUUAGUUGUGUAGGGGUAAAAUCCGUAGAGAUAACUAGGAAUACCGAAAGCGAAGGCGAUCUGCUGGGACAUUACUGACGCUGAGGCGUGAAAGCGUGGGGAGCAAACAGGAUUAGAAACCCGAGUAGUCC
rnacentral:rRNA from 1 species